AGAGUUUGAUUAUGGCUCAGGAUGAACGCUAGCGGCAGGCUUAAUACAUGCAAGUCAAGGAGUCAGCAAUGGCACCGGCGGACGGGUGAGUAACGCGUACACAACGUACCUUUAACUGGGGGAUAGCAUUUGGAAACGAGUGGUAAUACCGCAUGUGGUUGUAGGGAGGCAUCUUUUUGCAACUAAAACUCAGGUGGUUAAAGAUCGGUGUGCGUCCGAUUAGCUAGUUGGUGUGGUAAUGGCUCACCAAGGCGACGAUCGGUAGGGGGCGUGAGAGCGUGCACCCCCACACGGGUACUGAGACACGGACCCGACUCCUACGGGAGGCAACAGUAAGGAAUAUUGGUCAAUGGAGGCAACUCUGAACCAGCCAUGCCGCGUGAAGGAAGAAGGCGCUAUGCGUUGUAAACUUCUUUUGGGUGGGAAGAAAAUGGUCAAUUUAUUGACAACUGACGGUACCAUCAGAAUAAGCACCGGCUAACUCCGUGCCAGCAGCCGCGGUAAUACGGAGGGUGCAAGCGUUAUCCGGAAUCACAGGGUUUAAAGGGUGCGUAGGUGGCUUUAUAAGUCAGCUGUGAAAUGUCUGGGCUUAACCGAGGCAUUGCGGUUGAUACUGUAGGGCUUGAAUCAAGUUG
rnacentral:rRNA from 1 species